GGAGAGUGUAAGAGAUUUUGCAGGUGGUCCUAGGAAAUGGAAGAGAACCAAGAAUAGUGGUCAGGGAACCGGAUGAGCAGAAGGUGAACUGUUCUUCAGUAUAAAGUGGGGAAGCAGAAAGAGACCGAUUACGUCUUUGUAACAUAUACCACAAGAAACCCUGUUGCUGAGGAAGAAAGAAGAGGGCAUAGGGAGAGGACUGCAUCUGGCUAUCUGUUUUGCAUCCAGGAAUUUUGACAUUUUGAAACUUGUUUCCUUCCGAAGCAGAAUGAUUUGCAGCACCUUUGCAAAUCCUGAAAAGGUCUGUGCCAU